GUAUUGGCCUACCGUGGCAAUGACGGGUAACGGGGAAUUAGGGUUCGAUUCCGGAGAGGGAGCCUGAGAAACGGCUACCACAUCUAAGGAAGGCAGCAGGCGCGCAAAUUACCCAAUCCUAAUACAGGGAGGUAGUGACAAGAAAUAACAACACAGGACUUUUUGGUUUUGUAAUUGGAAUGAGUUAAGUAUAAACCCCUUUACAAGUAUCAAUUGGAGGGCAAGUCUGGUGCCAGCAGCCGCGGUAAUUCCAGCUCCAAUAGCGUAUAUUAAAGUUGUUGCAGUUAAAAAGCUCGUAGUUGGAUUUCUGUUAAUAAUUUAUAUAGAAUAUUUUGAUGAAUAUUUAUAUAAUAUUAACAUAAUUCAUAUUACUAUAUAUUUUAGUAUGUGAAAUUUUACUUUGAGAAAAUUAGAGUGCUUAAAGCAGGCAUAUGCCUUGAAUACUCCAGCAUGGAAUAAUAUUAAAGAUUUUUAUCUUUUUUAUUGGUUCUAAGAUAAGAAUAAUGAUUAAUAGGAACAGUUGGGGGCAUUUGUAUUUAA
rnacentral:rRNA from 1 species